rnacentral:rRNA from 1 species
AUUGAACGCUGGCGGCAGGCCUAACACAUGCAAGUCGAGCGGAUGAAGGGAGCUUGCUCCUGGAUUCAGCGGCGGACGGGUGAGUAAUGCCUAGGAAUCUGCCUGGUAGUGGGGGAUAACGUCCGGAAACGGGCGCUAAUACCGCAUACGUCCUGAGGGAGAAAGUGGGGGAUCUUCGGACCUCACGCUAUCAGAUGAGCCUAGGUCGGAUUAGCUAGUUGGUGGGGUAAAGGCCUACCAAGGCGACGAUCCGUAACUGGUCUGAGAGGAUGAUCAGUCACACGGGAACUGAGACACGGUCAGGACUCCAACGGGAGGAGCCAGUGGGGAAUUGUGGAAAAGGGGAGAAGCCCUGAUCGACCCAUCCCGGGGGUGGAAGAAAGUUCUUGGGAUUUAAAAGCAUUUUAAGUUGGGGGAAAGGGAAGUAAGUUAAUACCUUGCUGUUUGGACUUACCCAAAAAAAAAAGCACCGCCUAAUUUCGUC